GUAGGGUGCGAGCGUUAAUCGGAAUUACUGGGCGUAAAGCGUGCGCAGGCGGUUUUGUAAGCCAGAUGUGAAAUCCCCGGGCUUAACCUGGGAAUGGCAUUUGGGACUGCAAGGCUGGAGUUUGGCAGAGGAGACUGGAAUUCCUGGUGUAGCAGUGAAAUGCGUAGAUAUCAGGAGGAAUACCGAUGGCGAAGGCAGGUCUCUGGGCUAUAACUGACGCUCAUGCACGAAAGCGUGGGGAGCAAACAGGAUUAGAUACCCUGGUAGUCCACGCCCUAAACGAUGUCGACUGGUUGUUGGGGGUUUGACACUCUCAGUAACGAAGCUAACGCGUGAAGUCGACCGCCUGGGGAGUACGGCCGCAAGGCUA
rnacentral:rRNA from 1 species